AUUUCUAAACAAAAGAAUCACUAAAAAAAAGCUCUGCGUGUGAGAGAGAAAAAAAUCUUCCACAAAGUAAAAAGUUGCUUUCUCACUUGCGUUUUGAUCGCGUGCGUUCGAGUUCAUUCGAAGCAUUGUGAUCUCGCGCUUCUCACUGUUGAGUCGAUCAUCAUUGCUGACAUCGGCUUUGACCCUUGCUUCAGCCAAUAAGACGACAUCACGCAAUCUCGCUUUGGUACACCCUUUCGCACCAGAUUUGAGCCUUUAUGGCAACAAAGGAUCCCAUGUGUGUGAGUAUAUAGUUACACAUCAUGCACCCAUAUUACAGACAACCCCGAUCCAACACGUGUCUCAAGGCGACCCAUCCUUUUCUCGGGCCAAUAUAGAAUUGACAUGUGGAUGAUUUGUUGUGUGCCAUAUCUACAUAGUUAGGUUUCUCUUUUUCACUCUUUUAUAUUUUUUUACUCAUUCAUAUUAUUUGCAUAUCUUAAAACUAUAAUUAUGUAACCAAC
rnacentral:lncRNA from 1 species